UACAGAGGGUGCAAGCGUUGUUCGGAAUUAUUGGGCGUAAAGCGCGUGUAGGCGGCUCGUUAUGUCGGGUGUGAAAGCCCUCAGCUUAACUGAGGAAGUGCGCCCGAAACUGGCGAGCUUGAGUGUCGGAGAGGAUAGCGGAGCACCCGGUGUAGAGGUGAAAUUCGUAGAUAUCGGGUAGAACACCAGUGGCGAAGGCGGCUAUCUGGACGACAACUGACGCUGAGACGCGAAAGCGUGGGGAGCAAACAGG
rnacentral:rRNA from 1 species